UACCAGCACCCCGAGUGGUCGGGACGAUUAUUGGGCCUAAAGCAUCCGUAGCCGGUCAUGCAAGUCUUCCGUUAAAUCCAGCCGCUCAACGGUUGGGCUGCGGAGGAUACUACGUGGCUAGGAGGCGGGAGAGGCAAGCGGUACUCAGUGGGUAGGGGUAAAAUCCUUUGAUCCAUUGAAGACCACCAGUGGCGAAGGCGGCUUGCCAGAACGCGCUCGACGGUGAGGGAUGAAAGCGUGGGGAUCAAACAGG
rnacentral:rRNA from 1 species